rnacentral:rRNA from 1 species
UACAGAGGGUGCGAACGUUAAUCGGAAUUACUGGGCGUAAAGAGCUCGUAGGCGGUUUGUCGCGUCUGCUGUGAAAUCCCGAGGCUCAACCUCGGGUCUGCAGUGGGUACGGGCAGACUGGAGUGCGGUAGGGGAGAAUGGAAUUCCUGGUGUAGCGGUGGAAUGCGCAGAUAUCAGGAGGAACACCGAUGGCGAAGGCAGUUCUCUGGGCCGUAACUGACGCUGAGGAGCGAAAGCGUGGGGAGCGAACAGG